rnacentral:rRNA from 1 species
UACGGAGGAUGCGAGCGUUAUCCGGAUUUAUUGGGUUUAAAGGGUGCGUAGGCGGUCCGUUAAGUCAGCGGUAAAAUUGCGGGGCUCAACCCCGUCGAGCCGUUGAAACUGUCAGACUUGAGUUGGCGAGAAGUACGCGGAAUGCGCGGUGUAGCGGUGAAAUGCAUAGAUAUCGCGCAGAACUCCGAUUGCGAAGGCAGCGUACCGGCGCCACACUGACGCUGAGGCACGGAAGCGUGGGGAUCGAACAGG